rnacentral:pre_miRNA from 1 species
GAGUUCUCUUUAAGCACUUCAUACGACACCAUUAUUGUUAGGGUUGUUAUGAAGUGUUUGGAGGAACUC